CCCAAGUCCCAAUUACAGUUUUAAUUUUUAGCUUUUUUUUUUUCCCUUCAAAUAAAAAAUGUAUAGAUACAAAUAAAGAGUUAAAUUAUUAUAUGUAAAGGAGGGGAUCACCACCGUAGUCGUCGUCUCCCUCCCUAACAUGCUCCAUCUCCGACGAAGAUCACCAUCACACCACCAAUAGCAUGCCCCCUUCCUCUUCAGCCUCUAGAUCCGCCGCUAAUAUUCACAGCUCCUCUUCCUCCUCGUCUCUCCACCUCUGCAAGCACUCUCCUUCCGCCGCGACUGUCGACCUCCUCGUGUUGGUUCUUUGCUUUUGAUUGAUAACAGUGUGCUUCCCUCUCUUGAUGGUAUCAAGGCAUAUAGAGACGUUCGAUGCAAGUCUCAAUGUCUUACCUGGAAACCAGCAGCUUUCUCAAAAGUGGCAAUUUUGUGCACGAAUCCAAAAGCAGAAAAUACCUGAAACAAAUAUGGACUUGAUAUGAAUCAUGAUGACCAUACGGUGGAGUGGAUAACAACUAAUGGAACCAAAACGGUUGAAAGAAACUCAAAUGAUCCCGGAUUUAGACUAAAGAAGAGAAGAAGCCCAGAUAAGUACAGAAUGGAGAUCAAAACAAAUUAGAGCAGUUCCAACGCCAAAGAUAUCAACUUUCUGGAUGGAAAAGCUAACCCUCAUCGAGAUUUCAUAGACUUGCAAUGAAAUCAGGAGAUGAAAAGCAAGAAACAAAAGCAAACACGACGCAAAGAUAAAUUCAUCCCCUAAAAUAUGUGUAGGAGGAAGUGCAACGAGUGAUCCAUAUGAUAAAGUGAAAGUUGCUUCUGCGUGAUCACCAUGCUCCUCUCCUAUCACCAUGAACAGAGCACGCAGGCUCUCUAACAAACUCUCAUUUAAGUGAUCACGCAGGAUGCCCUCUCUACAGUCUCUCCUCUCUAUUUAUAGGCUAAACUCAUUAAUAAGACUGUUAUGCACGUCCACAACUCUCUCUGAUUACUCUCACAUGUGCCUACUUAUCAUUUUGAUUCAUUUAAAAUCUGUUCUCUGUCUGCAUAUGCUCCCUGUAAUGUUAAAAAACCUUACGCUAGAAUAGUUGUAUCAUAUGUUUGAUUCUUUGA